AGUUAGCCCAGGGAGGAAGGGGACAGAAUGACAGCAUGGUUAUAUCAAUGGUCCAAUUCUUGGUUCCAACCCUUGAUUGUCCUUCGAGAGCACCACCCAUUCCUUACAACACAUCUCUCCGCUUCAUUUUGGGAGUUUUGAAGUUAUUAAAGUUAUUGAUUUCUUUUCCUUACAACCAAAAUAAUCUAAAUUAAGAUUGUGGCCAAGUUUGGAUUAAAACCUGCCUCCCGGCUCCAAGACCCAUGUUUUUCUAUCAUGCUGACUGGCAGCAAAGACGUCUUCCCAUGGAUUUUUCAGAACUCUGUUCUUUAAAUGUGACCUUAGAUGCACCAGACUCAUGCCAUCCAAAGGUUGGAGGUACUGCCCAGUUUUAGCAAUGAAAGUCCCACGUCACGGGAAACCUCUGAGUCCUGGACAAAUCAAGAUGACAUUUUCUAUGCAUAUGCAAGCAUGUCACCAGGAGCAGAGCACAGAGGGACAACACAGCUUUUGCGCUUCCAGCUGGCUCCCAUCAAGAAGUUAGAAGGGAGCCUGCAAACACAUUUCCUGCUAUCAUCUCUCCACCCCAGAAUGACUUUCCCUGGUAGAGCUGGGGGAGGGGAGGCGGGCAGCAGGCCCCCCAGGAGGCCCUGGGCAGGAAUAUUAAUACUCCAACUUCCCAGCACAAGAGGAGGGAGGAGGAGCGGCCACGGCGCAGUCCGGUCCUGGGGGCCCUGGAAGGUGGUUGCUGAGCAGCCCGUGGGAGGCACGGAUCCGCCAGCUCACGGCGGCAGGGGCCGCCCAAGUCCUAAUGAAAACACCUAGCUCCUGGCAGGGCGCAGCCGACACAUCGCCCUGCCUUCUCGGCCACCUGGGAGAGGAUGGGCGCCGCACGCGGAUACCCAACCUGCCGGGUUGUGCUCGCAGUGACAUCGCUUUUCUCCCGGCAAGUGCAUCCAUCUCGCUGGGUCUGGAUAGAUAACACAAUCUCUCUGCCCACACCCCAUUUGCUGGGAGACAGCCUGGGCUUCUCCAUUUUUUAUGGGCUCACUUAGCUUGGAGGAAAUCCAGAGGUCAAAGCCGGCGCAGACGCUCCAGUCACCUUGCCCGUCCGGGCGCGCAGCCAUUCCGAAACGGGCUCACCCACGGGGCCCUAAAUUACGGCGAUUACACUGCAAUUCGCAGCGCGAUAUUACUUUGAUACACUACCUGCUGCAGCUUGGCCCGGGAGGCGUGCAUUAUUUACCAGGGAGGCUGUCCGUACUGCGCACCAGAGCUGACAGCGCUCCGCGGGGUCCCUCCUGUCCCUACAGCCCCGCCUUCGCCCGCGGUGCGGGGUCUGGAGGCAGUGGGGCGGGGGCAGGGGGUCACUGGAGCAGCCCCGCUCUCUCGGAGUGACCGUUUCCUGAACGCAAUAUAGCCCGGAGAGGACCCAGUGGCGGAAGCGGCAGCUGGCGAUGAGGUUGGGGGUUAGUAGGUGGGAACAAGUGCUGAGCCCGCAGCUCCUCCUGGCUCUUAAGGACACCCAGACCCUCCUUAGCCGGCCUAUAAGGGCCCUUGUUGCGCGCGCGCAGGGACCCACACAGGGCCUGCCCAGGGGUGCAAGGCUGGUCCCUGGCCCCUGGCCAACUGUUAAAACGGCUAGCAGCCGGCUAACCCCACCGGCAGGCUCCAGGAUUUAGCCUGUGGCGGCUGGUGGCGGAGAUGGAGGGAACUCAGGCUACCCUCUUCCUCGGGCCCUGGAAGCUGCGUGCGCCUCAGCUGAGGCCUGAUUUCGCCGUGGCUGGGGGCUGGGGCCGGAGUUGGGCCCGGCUUCUCUCCGGCUCCCCCAUUACGGUUUGGCAUCAGCAUCUAGAUUGCAGGUUACUUCUGCUUUUAUCCAAAGCGGUCCUUAAGGGAGAUGGAGUUCUGAUUGAAAUCCAGUCAAUUGGCGCCGUGGCUCAGAGGGCCCAGCGUGAGCACACUUGUAGGGAAAUUGCCCUGGGUCUGAGAGGAGGGGCAGGGGUGGGGGAGGGAACAGGACCCGCAGGCCUGCUCUGGAGCCUGUGAACGCGCUGCUGCGAGGACUUUAGCGGAUGCGCUCAGGUCGGUAUCCGCGGGAGUCCUGGAGGGAAAUCCGCUCUCCUUCUCCAGCUCCCUGGGAUUGAUGGAACCAGAAACCUCAAGCAAGGGAUCCCCAGAGGUCACUGCGUCCAGUCUCCAGCCUCAGACAGUGUCUGGGUAGUGGAGGAGGGGCCGAGUCUGUGGGACCGAGCUGUCUGCUUUGGUGGGUGAAGGAGGGUGGACUUCUGGGGUCUGGGUUGAGAUGUGGAUUAGUUCCAGGACUAGUUCCUGUUACUCGUAGGCGGGGAGAGGUCAUGGUCCCUGCUGAACACAUCUGGCUGUGUUCAGUCCUGAACUGCCCUGGGCUCCUCAGCAGUGUGCACAGGGGUCUGGCCUCCAAAUUUCUUGUUAACAGCCCAUCAGGAGCUGGAGGAGCUGGCCUGGCCUUCAAGGUGUGGAGGGGUUCCUGGAAGGAAGCAGAUGGGCACACGGAGGAGAAGAAUGACAAAUCCAUGCUUCCCCAAUGCUGGGGAGAGAAUAUGGUGGUGGGGAGGAAGCAUGGAGACCAGAAGCAUUCCCGGGAAUGCUUCUGGAAGUAUCCCAGAAAUGUCAAGAGCUCAUUCUGCCAGCUCUUCCGGGGCCAGCAAAGAACAUACAUAUCAUUUCUCCAUCCACUUUGGGACCUGCCUGAGAUGAACAUAUGUUUUAAAAGGAAUCCCAAUUGCUGCAGGAGCAGAUGGUGCUACAGGGGCAGGCAAGGGCAGGAGAAAGGAUACUGGCUGGCAGUAGGGUAGGAGUCCUGGGCUCUGCCUCGCCCCUUCCUCUUACCAGCCGUGUGAGCUGUGUGGCUGCGGGCAAGUCACUCCCCGGCUCUGUGCUGCCCCAUUUUCCUUGUGAAGAAUGAGUGGGUCCCCUGUAGCAUGCAGGAUGAGCUGAGGCCUCACUCCCCUGCGGUGGAGAGGACAGAACACUCUCUCCAUCAGCAGGGAAGACAGAUUUUCCUAUUUAUUAGCCUGUUCAGCUGGCAGACACAGGGACUGUCCUCUAGGCCAUGGGGUGGGGAAGAGGGGGACAGAGCCCCACACCAGCCCCCGCUGUGUCCAUCCUCUGCCUGUGGCUGUUUGCCUGAUUGAUUUGUUUGGUGGCCUCCCUGGCUGGGAUUGGGUCCCUGUGUCCUCCUGCACAUUUGCCUCUGGUCCCUCUCUGUGUGGUCAGGAGGGGGAGCUCUAGGUGUAGGGGCGGAAGAGACUGGAACAUCUAUCCAUCACGGACUGACUCUUGGGCUUGGUAAGGAUCCUAACAACCACCGGGUCCACCUGCCACCUUGUGCUCCGGGCCCCUCCCCAGAAGCUCCCCCUGCAGUGGGAGGCUCACUGCCUCUCGCUGAGCCACUCCCAGAAAGUUCACCCUUUUCUGGAUCCCAAGUCGAGUCCCUUGUGUCAUCUCUCAUUCAUCCUAGCUCUUCUUGUUGGCCUAGGUGUGAACUCCAUGCCUACAGGACCACCCUUCAGAUAUUUCAGGGCAGCGAUCUUGUUCAUCCCCUACUCCACCUUCUUGGGGCAAAACCUGCCUAGUAUCCUCCCUGCUGCUUCCCAGUCCCCUCACACUCUAGCUCUGACAAGAAGUGAUUGAGCUUCCAGUCAGAUGUCAGAGGCCCUGGUCUCCAGGGAGCUUCUAGUCUGGGAGAUAGUCUUCCUAGGACCUAAAGAAUGAAUAACAAAAUCACACAGGCAUUUGGGACUGUUGGAUUUCCAACUGGUAUGGCUGCUGGUCUGGAAACCUCCUCAGAGGUGAGUGGGUUUAGUCGUCUUCCAUGUAGAGAAGUCUUCCUGUUCUCUCUGAAACAGCUAUGCUCCCCCUCCUCAGAGACUGUGGGACUACUGGGUGCUCCGAUGGCGCUGGUGCCUGCUCCGGAGAGAAGUGGGAGAGAAUACUUUCCAGUUCUUCCCACCUCCAUCCCCAUCCAUCCUGGUGUGGGUACCACAGAAACCUGAGGUCCAGGGGGAAGCUUUCCACAGUGGGACCACCUCAGUGUCUUCGGUCCCCAGGGCACCUACUUUUUCUCCUGACUUCCAGAAGAUGUUCCCAGAGGGGCUGGUCUACGCUGCAAGAGUGGGCCCGCCACAUCUAGGCCUCCACCCCGCCCCCAGCUCUUAAUUUAUUAUUAACUCUGGAACUGACUUUGAAAUUAUGGAAGGCCAUGUUGUUUCUUUCCUCUGCAUCUCUUAUGGUCCCCAAGGGGAGGCGAGCUGAGAGUGCCAGAUACACAAAUAUGCAGCGAAAACCCUGUGGAUUUUUGGUUCUAGCAAGGGGAAGGAAAUUAGCUGUAAUAAGCUGCUGUCGCCUCACUGGAAAGCCUCCAGCACAGACCCUCGGAGGGGCUCCUGGGCCCCCUUCCUCUGCUCUCCCCACUUCCCGGCUGCAUGGCUGAAGAUCUCUGUCUUCAGCUUCCCCUGCAGGGGAGUGGCCUCCUCCCCACCCAGUCCUGUGACAUCACUGAUGGAGAUGAUCAAUAUCCCGGGCCUGUGAGGAGGAGGAGGAGGAGGAGACUGCAGGCACACAGAGAAGUGGUCUCUGGCCUCUUCCCAAGCCAUUAGCUUGAAUGGUGGUAGGAGAGGCAGGUGGGAGUCAAUUUCCAUUCUCCUAGAAUUACUGGAAGGCAGAGGGUUAUUUGGAAGUUUCUGAAAGGUGUGAGGUAUUCAUUGGCCCUCACACAAAAGGAUCAGUAGGCUCUGGUCUUUCCUUUUUCCUCUCCUGAGGAGAGCCAAGGGCUAAAACCCUUAAGUGACUACCCCACAGCAACAGCUGCACUUAGGCAGAAAAUAGCCUGGGCUGUGACUGGAGCCCUGGAAGGAACUAGUUCUAGCCCUUUGCUGGCUAACUUGGCCCAUCCUGAUCUGGCAUUGGGCUUCUCUCUGGCUUCUAAUGCAAAGAACAUAACUCAAUCAAAUGGCAGAUAUGAUGUUAAGCAUUCAUUGAAUUGAGUGGUUAAGUUCCCCCAUAACUUGCUGUGUGACCUCUGGUGAGUCACCUAACCUCUCUGGGCUUCACAUACUUUAUAUGUAAAAGGAGAGCAGGAGUGAGAUGAGUGCACCAUUUCUAAGACCCAGGAGUAAUCAUGCUGGGACACAUGUUUUAUAACCGUGGCCCAAACGCUCUUUCCUUCAUGUCCACCAGCCAAAAUGUUGGGCCUCACUUGCCGGUAAUGCUAUUACAUGGAAGGUUUUACGGCCAACAGGACAGUCAUGAGCUUUCACUACUAAUAAUUAUCUUUGUGAUUUAAAAUUUUAGCAAUAAGAUGGAUUCUUACCAAUAUUACUAUGUAUUAGUCUGUUUUCACAUUGCUGUAAAGAACUACCUGACACUAGGCAGUUAAUAAAGAGAAGAGGUUUCAUUGACUCACAGUUCAGCGGGCUGUAUAGGAAACAUGGCUGGGAGGCCUCAGGAAGGUGCAUGGGAAGCAAGCACCUCUUUACAUGGUGGCAGGAGAGAAAGGGCAAAGGGGAAGUGCCACACACUUUUAACCAACCAGAUCUCAUGAGCCAGCACUAGGGGGAUGGUACUAAACCACUAGAAACCACCCUCAUGAUCCAAUCACCUCCCACCAGGCCCCACCUCCAACACUCGGGAUCACGUUUCAACAUGAGAUUUGGGUGGGGACACAGAGCCAAACCAUACCAUACCGUAUAUUUUUACUUUUUAAAAAACUUCCUAAGAUUUUUCCCUUGGAGAGACAACAGGCUGUAAGAGUGAAGAGUGUGAGCCCAGGAGUCUGUCUGCCUGGAUUUGAAUCCUGGCUCUGCCACCUACCAGCUUUGUUAUCUUGAGGGUGUCCCUUCACUUCUCUGUGCCUCCGUGUCCUCAUCUAUAAAGUGAGAAAAAUGGCUGGGCGUGGCGGUUCAGGCCUGUAAUCCCAGCGCUUUGAGAGGCUGAGACGGGUGGAUCACCUGAAGUCAGUUCGAGACCAGCUUGGCCAACAUAGUGAAACCCCGUCUCUCCUAAAAAUACUGUAGUCCCAGCUACGGGAAGCUGAGGCAGGAGAAUUGCUUAAGCCCAGGAGGUGGAGGUUGCAAGGAGCCGAGAUUGCGCCACUGCACACCAGCCUGGCUGACAGAGAUUCCAUCUCAACAACAACAACGACAACAAAAAGCAGCGGGGAAAAUAAUACAACACAAAGCUGCUGUGGUCUGAAGGGCUUAAAACAGUACCUGGUGCAUAGUUAGUGCAAGCUUACUGAGUGUUGAGUGUUAUUACUGUCAAUGAUAAUAAUAGAAUGCCUUUGAACCCUUCUCAGGAGAAGCAGCCUUUUUAUUUCCUCAUGUUGGCCCCUGCAUCUUUGCUAGAGUGAUCAAUUAGACACAUAUACUUUCUGAAAUUCUGAGGGCACCCAGUGGGAUGAUCUUUAAGGUAUACUUCCAGCCAGAAUGUUGGGGGCGGUGUGUGUGUGUGUGUGUGUGUGUGUGUGUGUUUCUGGCUAAUAGUAUACACUGGUUAACUGAGAAUAGCCCAUUCCUUUUAGUUUCGUUCUCCUACAGUUGAACAUUGAUUAGAAAUGCACAAAUCCUGUCCCUUGCCUUAGCGGAGUUAUUAGUAUUCCUUUCUGAGGAGGCCAUAAGGUAUUAUCGGCAGGCACCAUAGGUAGGCUGUGAGAAGGGCGAGUCAGUUCUGCCUCUUCCCCUGGCUUCCACAUCUGUAAAAUGGGGGCAAUAACACUUAGAGGGCGUGGGGGCUUUCCAUCCUCACAAGGAGAUCUCAGGUGAGAUGAUGGCUCCAAGAUAACUUUUUAAACUGUAACAUGCCGGUCACCCAAAAUGGCAUAUCCUCCUUACCACAGAGCCUCUGCACCCUGGGAACCCUUUUUCAGGACAAGGUGUCACCUUAUCCCAGGUCCCUGGGGGGGAGGCCCAGGAGGUAAAGGAUUAGGAUAUUGUUUUGUUCCUUGCAUUCUUUUCUGAUCUUGUUUUAUCUUAAAAGUUAAAACAAAGAUCCAGUUAAUGGAUAGUCCCAUGAAUUCAGACUUCAGAGGUCGGGUGUGCCUGUGUGUAUUGUGGCUUCCCCAUGGGCCCGGCUUUGACCAAUGCCUUUGUAACAAGCAUCUUAGUUCCCAGAGCUCAUGUCUGCACAACACUGCACACUUUGUGGAUGUAGACAUUCAUUCGUUUGACAAAUAUUUAUGGAGAAACUGCCAAAUGCUGUUCUAGGCACUGGGGAGAUAGCCAUGAGUGACACAAGGUCCCUGCCCUCGUGGAGCCCAUGCCGAGAGGGAGAGAGACUGACAACAAAUAGGAAGAUACAUAAAAAGGAUUUUUUUUUUCAUGAUGAUGAGUGCCUUGAAAAAAAGAAACCGGGGGAGUGUGAUAGAAAGUGACUUGAAGGGCAAGUGUCCUUCCUUAGGUGUGGUCGGGACAGGACAGAUUCUGCUGAAUGGGCCACUUUAUGUAACAGAGAUAGUCCCAAGUCCUUUCUCUUUAAUAGAAGUACUACUGCUACCAUGCAUAAGGACAAUGACAGUAAUUAACAGUUACUACUUGCUGAUGCCACACCCUGUUCUGAAUGGUUAGAAGAAUCGAAUCCUGGCCAGGUGCAGUGCCUCAUGCCUGUAAUCCCAGCACUUUGGGAGAUGGAGGCAGGAAGAUCUCCUGAGGCCAGGAAUUUGAGACCAGCUUGGGCAACUUAGUGAGACCCAAUCUCUAAAAAAAAACUUUAAAAAAUUUAGUCAGAAGUGGUGGUGCACACCUGUAGUCCCAGCUACUUGGGAAGCUGAGGUGGGAGGAUCCCUUGAGCCCAAGAGUUCGAGGCUGCCGUGAGCCGUGAACGCACCACUGCACUCCAGCCUGGGUGAUGGGGAAAGACUCUGCCUCAAAAUAAACCACAAAAAGGAAUCAAAUCCCCCCAACAACCCAGGUGGAGGGUAUCAUUAUUAUCCCCACUGUACCAGUGAGGAAACUGAGGCACAGAGAGGUUAAGCAACAAUGCACAGCUAACAAUGAAUGAAACUGGAAUUGGAGUGUCCUGAUCAGUUUGAGAAUAUUGGUGCUUUGGGGGUCUAUUGUAGGAGUGUUUAACUGCCAUUUGAAUAGUUGUGCUCCAUUAAGUAUUCUUCAUUCAAUUUGACCCAUUUUUUAAAUGAAUUUGGUAAUUUGUAAGUUUUAUCUCAUUUGAGUGAAGAGGGCUUCCUUUGGGAGUUGGGAGGCGGGUGGUUCAGGAAGGUUUGUAGCUUCCAGGAUGGUAAAGGUAGAGAAAUCUUGAAGUUGUGGAAUAGGAGAGCUGCAAAGGCUCCAUUUGGGCCUGGUCACUUACUGUGUAGAUUGAAACAGAGGGCCCAGAGAGGGACUAGAGUCACCCAAAGCCACAUGCCACACGCACUGUGGCCCCCUUCCCUCCAGCCUUCUGCACAUUUUGAAGAGCAUGUCAGAUUCUAUUAAGAGUAACCAAGCGCAGUGCUCCAACAUGGUUUCGGUCUAUUUAUCCAGGGACACCACAGCUUUGGAGGCAGCAAACAUGCCCAUUUGUUACUAUUUGCAAAGAUGGUGUACACCAAACAUGGG
rnacentral:lncRNA from 1 species